rnacentral:rRNA from 1 species
GUGUCAGCAGCCGCGGUAAUACGUAGGGGGCGAGCGUUGUCCGGAUUCAUUGGGCGUAAAGAGCUCGUAGGCGGCUUGGCAAGUCAAGUGUGAAAUCUCCAGGCUUAACCUGGAGUCGCCACUCGAUACUGCCAUGGCUAGAGUCCGGUAGGGGACCAUGGAAUUCCUGGUGUAGCGGUGAAAUGCGCAGAUAUCAGGAGGAACACCAGUGGCGAAGGCGGUGGUCUGGGCCGGUACUGACGCUGAGGAGCGAAAGCGUGGGGAGCGAACAGGAUUAGAUACCCCGGUAGUCC